rnacentral:rRNA from 1 species
GACGUAGGGCGCGAGCGUUGUCCGGAUUUAUUGGGCGUAAAGAGCUCGUAGGCGGCUUGUUGCGUCGACUGUGAAAACCUGCGGCUCAACCGUGUGGUCUGCAGUCGAUACGGGCAGGCGUGGAGUUCGGUAGGGGAGACUGGAAUUCCUGGUGUAGCGGUGAAAUCGUUAGAUAUCUGGAGGAACACCGGUGGCGAAGGCGGCAUUCUGGACCGAUAUUGACGCUGAGGAGCGAAAGCCAGGGGAGCAAACGGG